GGGGAAUAUUGGACAAUGGGCGCAAGCCUGAUCCAGCAAUGCCGCGUGGGUGAAGACGGCCUGCGGGUUGUAAAGCCCUUUAGGCGGGGAGGAACGGCGUCGUGCGAACAGUGCGGCGUUCUGACGUUACCCGCGGAAUAAGCACCGGCUAACUCCGUGCCAGCAGCCGCGGUAAUACGGAGGGUGCGAGCGUUAAUCGGAAUUACUGGGCGUAAAGCGUGCGUAGGCGGUUUGGUCAGUCAGCCGUGAAAGCCCCGGGCUUAACCUGGGAAUGGCGGUUGAGACGGCUGGACUUGAGUGGGCUAGAGGAUCGUGGAAUUCCGGGUGUAGCGGUGAAAUGCGUAGAGAUCCGGAGGAACACCGAUGGCGAAGGCAGCGGUCUGGGGCCACACUGACGCUGAGGCACGACAGCGUGGGGAGCAAAC
rnacentral:rRNA from 1 species